UUUUCCCCCCGGGGAUUUUGGGGUUUUCCAGAGGGAUUUGGGAAAGGGGAGAAUCUCCACAAAAAUUGGGAAUGGGAAUUGGGAUAUUGUGAAAAUGGGAAUGAUCAAAAUCCCUCUUUUCCCAGGAGAAUCCCCAUUUUUGGGGCCCUGGUUUUUUUGGGGGAAUGACAGGAUUUGGGAAAAGCUGGACAUUCCAGGGAAACACCACCCAGGAAAAUCCCAAUUUUUGGGCCCCAUUUCCCUGGAAAAGUGCCGGAGCUGGGAAUUCUGGGAAUUUUAAUAACGGAGCCAGGGCUGGAAAAUUUAAUAACGGAGCUGAUCCGAUUAUCCCGGAUUUCUGCCGGAGCAAUUUCCGCUGGAGCCAGGGGGGUCGGAGCCCCCGGCCGGAGCCGCCGCUGGAAUUGGAUUUUCCGGAGGUUUCCCUUCCCAGCCCCUUCUAUUUUAUGGGAACCCCUGAGUUUUGGGAAUUUUUGGGGGAGUUCUCCCCUAAAAAAUAGUUUGUUUUUUUUUUUUUUU